rnacentral:sRNA from 1 species
AGAGAGCUUAAAUACCUCAUUUAAACCCUAAAAAUUCAGCCUCAUGUCCUUCCUCCUCCUUCAGGAUCUAAGUAGAAGCCAGAAAUGCAUCAAAAAGGAAGGUUCAUCAGAAAUUAGUCAGAGGGUACCAAGUAGGAAUUAUGUGGACAGCAGCGGCUCAAGCCUUCAGAAUGGAAAGUAUAUGCAGAAUUCAAACCUGACUUCGGGGGCAUGCCAGAUAAGUAAUGGUCUAAGCCCAGAAAGGCCAGUUGGUGAAACUUCCUUCUCGGUGCCCCUUCACCCCACCAAGAGACCGGCAUCAAAUCCACCACCUAUCAGCAACCAGGCAACAAAAGGUAAACGUCCAAAAAAAGGAAUGGCAACAGCCAAACAACGUCUUGGGAAGAUCCUUAAGUUGAACAGAAAUGGCCAUGCACGUUUCUUUGUGUGACAGAGCUGCUGUUGCAGCCAUUCUUCCCUUUGGAGACCAGUCUAGGGGUGCAGGAGCCUGGAGCUUCUGCUGUCCCCCUGCCUGGAGAAGUUUGUGUGUAUAGUAAGAACACUGCCCGAAGAACAGAAUGAACCUGAUGCUGCAUUUUCACUGUGCCACACCCACUCAGCAAUAACCAUUUUGGACCUGGU